UUUGCUAGCCUUGCCCAAGGGCUGUUUUAGCACCCCAUAAAUCCUGUAAUUGUAUGGGAUCCUUUGGCAGUGUGUGGAUUUUUCUGCUAAAUCACAGUGGGAAGAAGAUCAGGAGGAACCCUGAAAAAUAAAGCAUUAUCGUGGCAUUAGAAGAUUCACAGUGGGAGUGAAUAGCACUGGCACAACCCCAGCCCAGCCUUCAUUACUGCUUUUUCAAGUUAUUUAAGGAAGUCAUUGAAGACAAUCUCUGGUUUACUCUGCACAAGUAGCCACAAAAUUUUGGCAAGGAAUUGACCCAUUAAUGUCAUGGGGAGUAGAGCGUCUUCUAACAGAACCACACUGAGUCCUCUGAAUAGAGCUCUCAUCUGGAAUGAAAAUACUGUGUUCGCCAUCUAGACUGUGGCUCGUCUGUACACACAACCGAUUUACCAGGAAACCAACUACCCAAAAAGAAAAAAUAAAGAAUUAAAGCAAGAGUGUUUAUUUUGACCAUUCAAGUGCCCAAGGAGUAACCUCUUUCUCAAUUUUCGAGAGACUCCAGGUCUAUUGAAGCAGGCCCAGGCCCAGAUGCAGCAGUGGACAGUCCUACCAGCCUGUUUGUGCUCCAGUCUUCCUAACAAGGGGUCAGCUCUGGACAAGGUCACAGCCCACGACUUCUCCCUGGGACAACAUUCUUAGGGUUCAUUGUAUAUGACUGACUCUCCUCUUCUGAGACCCUGCAAGCUCACCACAA